ACUUCCGUCAAAUGCGUCCCACCUGACUUUUCUGACUCUACGUUCCACCAGGCACUUCCGUUCCGCGUCGCUCACAGGUCUCCAGUCCUCAGGGAUACAAACAGUGCGGAAGAUCCCGGGUACCUGAACGCGAUGUUACAGGGAGAGAGGAGGCCGCUGUGGUGAAUUGUCAGUUACUAUGGCAACAGCCCUGCAAUCCGAGCCGGUCUGUAUGGUGACCAGGAUACGGAAGUGGGCGGAGCUUACUGGCGUGGUGAUGGGAGCACUUAAAUAUCGCCUUGGAGUGCCGCCAGUGGAGGAGUAUAUUACGUGCAGCCGUGCGGGCUGCUAUGUGGAAGGCACCGGGCGCAGCAACUUAACACAUGUCAGGGGAGUGCCGGAGCUGGAAAAAAAAAUAAAUAUAUAUAUAUAUAUAUAUACCAUAUCAAUCAAUGUCACCAAUAUUAUGACAGCACAUCUAGCAUUAACUGAAGAUCUAGCAGUUGGACUCUUUAGGUCCAGACCACAUAGGAACUCUUGUCAAGUCCUAUGUCAUGAAUCAGUUUAUAUUUUAUUGUAUACAUGUUGCAAAUAACACGAGAAGUUUAAUCACUCAUAGCAGCAUUUACAUGAAAGAUGUCGACGUGUCGGUCUACAGGGGGACGUUUGUCAAGAC